AGUGAAUGCUAGGGGUAUGCUUAACACAUGCAAGUUUAACAGGGCGUUGGCUCGGUAGCGUACGGGUGAGUAUGGGCAGAAGAACUAAAGAGUAAGUUUGGGAUAAGAGUUUGUCUGUAUAAAUACCAAAUAUUAAAAAAGAUUUUUAUCGCUUACUUUUCGGCUUCUGUAGGAUUAGAUUGUUGGUGGUGUAAUGGACUACCAAGUCGAUGAUCCUUAGUUGGUCUGAGAGGAUGAUCAGCCACACUGGGACU
rnacentral:rRNA from 1 species